GACGAACGCUGGCGGCGUGCCUAACACAUGCAAGUCGAACGAAGUGGCGAACGGGUGAGUAGCGCGUAAUCAACCUGCCCUUCAGAGGGGGACAACAGUCGGAUACGACUGCUAACACCGCAUACUGAAGGAGGGGAUUGCGUCUGAUCAGCGAGUUGGAGGGGUAACGGCCCGCGAAGGCGAUGAUCAGUAGCAGGUCAGGAAGAAAGAACCGACACAUUGGGACAGAGGCCCGGCCCAGACUCCUAAGGGAGGCAGCAGGAGGGGAACUUCCGCAAUAGACGGAAGUCUGACGGGGCAACGCAACGGAAGUGAUAACGGGCUUAGGGUUGUAAAACUCUGUUAAACGGGGCGCGAUACCGAAAUAGAAGGCCACGGCUAACUACGUGCCAGCAGCCGCGGUAAUAC
rnacentral:rRNA from 1 species